AUCAGAGUAGGAAAUAAAGCGUUAAGUGCUGAAUAGAUGGGAUGUUGCUAUUUGGACGAAGGAUAAGUUAAACGAGGCUUAUACGCGGUUUUAUUUUCGCAUUCGCUGCA
rnacentral:ncRNA from 2 species